AUGUUACAUUUAUUCAUUUUUAUUAUUUCAUUAUUUACUAAUUUAUAUCAAAUGUUCAUCAUUCUUAAUAUCAUUUAAUUUAAUUGAACGAUAUUUUCUCAAAACAUCUUUAUUCAAGUUAAAAAGCUUCAAUUUGCAGAACAAAUGUAAAAUGCACUUCUUUCUAAAUUUUCUCUCUCCUACAUUUGUUUUUCUUCCAAAACGCCCCAUUUCCUUCUAUCUUUAUACACGUUAGACUAGUACAAUAUUUACACACACGCACUCACAACCUUCUAUAGACUGUAUUUAUAUCUUUUCCCCGGCUUCUACUUCUCUCCCUUCUUCUUAUUCUCAACUCUCUCCUUAUCUUUUGAGACACAUUUUACAUAUGACAUGGACACGAACAUAUCGUCGGCGAGAACUUGUCUGGUAUCACACCUGUCCGCAAUCGUAAUCGUCCUUUCUCGUAAUAUCGAUUACAAUCGUUAUUUCAUCUACAGUUGACAUUUAUAUUUAUUUUUAAUAAAUGUAAAAAAGAAGAAAGAAGAAGAGGAAGAAGAAAAAGUCAUUGGAAUUCAAUGAUACGAAUUUAUUGACCUUCGGGCAACCUUGAACGAGAAGAAUUUGAAUAAAAUUUAGAGCUACCAGAUUUCAAAUUUCUCAUAAUUAUUUCUACUUUCAUAGACGAAUUUAAGCGCGUCAAUCUGGAAAAAGUCAAAUCCUUGACAUAGUUUCUACCGAUUUUGUUGUAUAAAACUGGAACAUCAACGUGAGAUUUGUUAACAGAUGACCUGAUUGUACGAGACAUCGGCAUCGCUAGGUAAGCAGAAACAAAUUAAAGGAAAAAAUAAUAAGAAGGAAAAAAGAGAAAAUAAUAAAAUGAAACAAAGAAAAAAUAAGAAAGAAAAAAAUGCAAGAAAUAUUGAAAAUAAUAUAAAUCAAUUAAGCUCAACUCGUACAUAUCGUACGUAGGCUUUGUUGGCCAAGUUUAGCCAUGAACAACCCCUGAUGAAAGAGUUUCGAGAGCUCGCCGACGCAUUUUGCGGCGACAUGUCGCUGACUCGGUCUGCUCUAAACUCGUUCGACGACAACGACGACGACAAGAAGGAGGGACGCGAGUAAUAAUACUCGUAAGUGAGUACGAACUUGUUGGACGAUGCGACGAAGUAUCCUUUUAAUUCGUUACGAAUCACCAGUCGAGUGCGUUUCCUUUUUUUUUCCUUUUUACAUUUAACAUCGUGUUACUCUUAAUGUCCUUCCUUUCGAGUAUUAUCCAAAUAUCGAGCUUCGAUUUUUAAAAUGUCGCGCGCACUUCGCUUCGUAGCACAUUUAAUCAAUACGAUUAUACGACAUUGUUUCUCUCUUCUUUUUUUAAUUUGUAUUUUUCUUUACUUUUUCAUCUUGUAAUAUGAUAGAUGUUCGUUCUCACAAAAAGUGUUACACUUUACGUUCUUUCGAAUUACGUUUCGGAAAUUUUAUCGUUUGGUUCAAUCAAUUUUUGGUAUUCGCUCAAAUUGAUAGGACAUUUUAGAUAAAAAAAAAGUCAGAAUAAUUAAGCCAGUUGACAGAUCGUUCCUGUAUCAUGUGAGAUUUAUGUAGGUAUAGGAACGAUCUUAUCCAACCGUUAGCAUUCCGCAUCCCGACGAAUCGGAGCGAGACACGCGCUGGUCCUCGCAAACUCGCACGGUAAGCGUAACUUACAUAUGUGUGGUGCCAACGAUACUGCUCCACGCUUUAUGUAUACUUUCUUACACGUAUAUAUAUAUAUAUAUGUGUGUGUGUGUGUGUGUCUAUACAUAUAUUUAUUUAUUUAUUUAGUUAUUUAGUUAUUUAUUUAUAUAUACAGAAUGAACCAUUUAAUCCUAGUAAGCUCAAAUAUUAUUACACACCAUCUCUCCGAUAAAAUAAUUACUCGAUCGUAAAAAUAAUCGAUGACAUUCUUUAGGAUAUCAAAAUUCAAUCGUUAAGCGUGUUCAGAUCGGAAAAAAAAUUAUUAUUUCUUCGCCUAUUUUUCGUUCGAUAUGAUUUAAGAAGAAGAAGAAAAGUUAUUAAGGAAAAACAAUCACCGAACGAUAUUUCAAUAAAGUAACUCAGAAAUUUGAAAUGAUUAUAUCGUGCAGGUAAACAUAUGGUACAGCGUAACCGCGGUUUAAACUGCACUCGUACGAAGUCUCGCUCGUGAGUUGUAGGUCAGAUCCAGUCGCGCGAGCGUGUAAUUCAGACAUUAUGCUGGACGGAAUCGUUGUACAAUACCUUCGGUUUCGUGUUACGAGGUAAAAGAAGGAGAGAGAGAGAGAGAGAGAGAGAGAGAGAGAGAGAGAGAGAGAAAGAGAGAGAAGUCCACCUUACGCUAUACCUGUUAGAUGUUUCGCAAUACAUACGACAAAAUCCAAGUGGUAGGUAAAUAAAAUGAUUGAUAUUAGAUUUUCAUGGUUAUUUCGAGCAAUCAUCGUAAAAUGCAAACUUAAAAGAGCGUCCUAGUUGAAAGCUCUCUACCGAAGAAAACUUCAGUAGAAUCAAGGAAAGGUGGGUCGAGUAUGAAUCAUCGUUUCACGAAGGUAGAGCAAAGCGCUACCAACGAGCUUCUAUUUCGAGAUUCGUGAAAUAUUCGUCGGCAUUACUAAUCGUGCUUCAUCGUGUCUAUGAUUCAACUCUCCUCCUAAAAUCAUCGGGCAAGGCUUGAACGCUCAUAUUGUCCACCUGCUGGUAGACCAAUCGACGAGAGCGUGGAAUUCUAUUUUCGCGGUUCACGGACAACGACGAGUAAUCACUGCUAAAACCCUGAAUGUGUCCAACCAAUCUUUCUUCUUUUUAGAUACUUACAAUGAUAUAUAUAUAUGUAUAUAUACACACGUGAAUCUACAUACGUAGAUACUUAUAAUACGUAAUAUUAUGCAAAAAUGUACUUUACCGUUUGACUCGAUCCUGCGAAAUAACUGCGUAUGCAAAUCAUCCUCAUUCUCGUCGUCCUGAUUGAGGUCGCAAUACGUCCCGUUUCUCUCGAUAUCAGAAAAGUCAAGACGUUUUGGCUUAGCGUACGGUUCUCCUGUCCUCUCGUCGUACUCGUAUUCACCGGCACGAUUUUCAAGAUAACUGCCGUCCUCGCAGCUGCAAAAGCAAUUCCGCUUGACGACGAGAGGAAGGAUGACGUCAUCGAUGCCGAAACAUCGUAUUAUUCGUUUCCGAUCAAAAAUCUUUCGUGCAGAACGAAUAACAACGCGCUCGAGAGUGACGUCACCGACACGGACGAACGAAUGGGAGGAUAAAACCGGACUGACUGGUGGCGUUCUCCGAACGAGAAGUACACCACAUCGAAAGCAGUGUGAUCGGACGACGGCGAUCGCUUGAAAAAAUCAUGCUUCCUGUACUCGAUCGUUCUAUUGAUAUUUUGACAAUAAAAAAAAAAAAGAAAAAGAAAAAAGGAAAAUAAAUGGAUACAUAUAAAGGAACUCUGACGAGGUCGUAUGCCGACUUAUCGUUAUACGUUAACGAACGCUUUUCUGUUUAACGACCGGAACGUUACAUCGGAUGCAUACAAGUAAUUGCACGUAAUCUAAUAAUUAAUAUUCAUGGGGCGUCACUGAUUAAUUAAAACCGUUGUCUCAUUAUGCUCGGCACAUGUAAGAAGUUCUUCAACCGAUCACGAACUGUCGGUUUAACAAUAAUUCUUCUUUUCGAUCUUUUUUCGCUCCUUUAUCGCAUUAAUAUAUUUAUUAUAGAAAAAUUAUAUAUAUAUAUAUAUAUAUACAUAUAUAUAUAUAUAUAUAUGUAUGUAUAUAUAUAUAUAUAAAAUUUAUCGAAUAAUGAAUCCCAUUGAACGCGAGCUCAAUUGUUGAGAUUUAACAUCAAACGAUUUGACGUUAUGUAAUUUGUUAAACAAUACUAACAAUAUGUUACUCGUUUCCCAGAAAAUGCAAAUAGUUAUUUGUUUCUCUGGCAAAGGAAGACGAGUCCUUGAAUAAAAAUGACGAGAUGUAACACGUGAUCGUUUUAGCGUGACACUGGCUGGACCUGAUAUAAAAAUUCAGUGAUAAUUCAUACGUGCUUCAUCGUUAAUUUUUAAAAACGAUGAAAGAAAUAUUGCGAAUAAUGAUAAAAUCCAUGUCACGAUGUCGUUUUUAAUGUUUCCUAUAUAAAAAAAAAAAAAAAAAAAAAAAAAAAAAAAAAGAACAAUAUUUUCGAAAAGAUGGUCUAUGUCUUUUGAAAACAAAAUAAAAAUAUGUAUGACAGCACGGUAUAUUUAUAUUAUAAUAAUGAUAUUUAUAAAUAUUUGAUAAUCCCUAAAAAUUCAAGUCGUAAAAACGUAAUCAGUUGCAUUCGAUAUGAAUGAAUGUGAUUAAUAAUUUUCAAAAGAUAAAAAAAAUCUCUUCCAAUCGAGUCGACGAUUUGCGUUUUUCUUAAUUAUUGAAAUCAAUGCAAUGUCAGAAAGAGGCGGACAAUCACCUAAAUCGAUCCACGUUCAAGCAAUAACGUCGACACUCGUGUGACACAUGUCACGUACAUGUCACGUCACCGACAGGUCUAGCACGGACGCCGAGCUGAACCGAGACUAAAGAUUCUAAACUUUUCGAACGACUUCAAGCCCGUAUUGUCGUGAGCCGAGCGCUCUCGAUCGUAGCCGAUUAUCAUCGAAGGUUACCUAUCACGGCCGAAGAAAUACGACGGCUUAAUGGCGGCGAUUUUAAAUUUACAUGCGCCUUUAGCGCUUUCCUUUCGAUCAUAGUAAUGCACUUACCUUCGAUCAACAUGCAAUAAAUCUCAAAUAUCGUGCAGUAAUCAAUGAAAAUCUUGAUGUAUUCGACACAUGAUACUUUAUUUACAAAAAAAAAAAAAAAAAAAAGAAAAAAAAGAGAAAAAAAGAAAUAAUCAUUAAACCAUGCAAUGCAUACCAUACGUGGAACCUCAUUUUGAGAAUAAAAUUCUGAUUGACUCUUUAACGAGGAGUUAAAUAAUAAAAACAUUCGAUAUGUUUAUAUAUUAAUAAUGUAUAUUUUACUUCGAUUCUAUUUGUCGAUAUCUUAUCUGUGAUGUUAAAAUUGUGAAGAAGAAGAAACAUAAAAUGCGUCACACAUCAGUCAGCUUGGAUUAGCUAGAGGCAGGCGAUGUCGAUUCUCAUUUGCCAAAGCUACGGCAGUUAUUUCAGCGAACUUUGAUAAACCGGAGGCUGUGUCGUAACGAGCGAAACAAGCAGCUUCGUGAGCGCAACUGCAGUUGCAGCAGCCGACCGACGAACUUCUCUCGUCAUUUUGCGUGAUAUCGUCGAUCGAACGACUCACCUUCCUUGCGUUUUCCAAAAACUCCUCUCCCUCAAUCUCAUUUUUAUCGCGUUUCGUCGGAGACAUCUCGAUGCCACUGUCUUCGUGAUGUCUCGUAUAAGUUUUCGUUAUCGAACAAACGUUUUUCGUUUCCUUACUAAUCGUAUGCGAUUUUUCUUCGUCCGUUGUAAUCUUCUUGAUCAUCUUAGUAUAAAUCGGUGUUUUCCUCGAAGAUUCGUCUUUAGAUGAUUCAGGCAAAUCUGUAAAAUAUUAUAAUAAUAUAAAAUGAAAAAUUAAGAAAUUUUAUAAAACAAAUCAACACACGAAAACAAACGUACCUUUCAUAGAAAUGGGAUCGAUUUCACGAUCGAUACCAUUCAAUUUUUUAUUCGGAUCUUCAAUUAUUACAUGAUGAGAAUCGUGCACCUCUUUAACAUCCACGUUUUGCAUAUGAUCUUGCAACGUAUUUGAGGUAACUUUAUAAGACGCCAAUCCCAAGUGAGUGUCGUGUGAGACACGUAAAGUAGUCGUUUCCGUGACUUCCUUUACGAUCUUUCCAGAUCUCUCCUGCGAUAAAUCGAGAUAUUUUUCUUUAAAAUUAUUCCCGAAGCUAGUGAAGUAAAAAUAGAAAGGCCUAAGAUCUACCUCCGUGGUCUUCUCAAUGGAAACGACUUUCCCUAACGGUACCAACUCAUUUUUUUCUUCGACUUUGGUAUUUUCCAUCAAUACGUCAGACUUUUCAACUUUCACAGGAAUUAUUAUUUCCGGCUCUUUCGUCGGCUCUUCCGGCUUCCACCUAAAUGAAACAUCAUCAAAAUAUAUACACCAAGAAAUAUAUUAAUAUCUUAUGAAUAAAUGAGAAAAAUCAUAAUGUUAAUUUUUACCAAGCUAAAGUAGAAGAAGCAGUUGGUAUUAUUGAUGAAACUACAAUGUCUUCGCAUUCCGGAGAUGUCACGAAAGAUUCGCUUCGCGAUCUCGCCGUAGGCGUGAUCGAACAUUCCGUAGCUGUCACGUAACCAUCUACAUUGACAUCCUCGUUCGUGCUCUCUUCGUGUAACUUUUCAACAUCCUCCUAAGAAAAAGAUAAUAUUUAAAUUAAUUGAAAGCUAAUUAUUACAUAAUUCUUUAAUUUACACAUUACACUUACAAUUUCUUGCUUUUCUUCGGCAGCAUCGGUCAUCGAUGAGCCGUUUGAAACAACCUCGCUCGAAGCCAUCAUCGAUGGGAAGCUACCAGAAGGAAUUGAUGAAACUGCUGACGAAGUUUUAGUAUCUUCAACAUGCGAAACGAUCGGUCCAGGCAAUAAUCCAAAGUUAGAAGAAGAAGUUAAAGUGGACACAUCGUUAGCACCGAUCGACGAUGAAGCAGAAUCGUUCGAAUAAACAAAUGUAGGAGUUAUUUCGCUGAUUGGUGCAGUAAUCGAAGAAAUUGUCGUUGUCGUUAUGGAUUUAGGUAAAACAACAGGAGACGUAGUGCAUGCUAAAGUCGUCGUUGUCGGUGUUAGGGUAGAAGAGAUCGAUAAAGCCGAGCUAGGGAUCGGUACCGGCUGAGUCCUCGCUCCAGCUUCGCACAAUUUUGCAUCCAGUUUCUCGGCUAACCGGGUUACUUCUGCCAAUUUCGCAGAGAUCGCUUCGACCGCUGUUAGAUUAGCGGCUUUGCCCGAAGCAUCCUCGGCUUCGGACAUUCUAGAAAGUGAUAAAUAUGAUGUUUAAUACUUAGCCUGGUAUAAAAAGAUUUUACUGCGUCUCGUACCUUACUUCGUAACGUCUAGAAAAAGAGAAAAAUAAUAGGGAAGAAAAAGAGAGAAAGAAAUAUUUUCGAGUUAUUUUUCAAUGAGCCGAUAAGUAUAUAAACCGAGGAAAUAUUAAUUAUUACCCAUGUAAAUGGUUUAUACUUUAUAAAAGUUAUAAAACGAAUUGAGCACUGAAGAAAUAAUUUCGAAUAAAAUUCGACACCGAUCGAUCUGUUUUCAUUGACAAAAUUAGAAGUACCUUCUAAGAUAAAACGUCAAAUUUUAGUGAUUGCGUAAGAACGACGACAGUGACAGCGCGCCGUGAUGGCGCGUCGUCGGCCAGAUGGUCUUUCAAUGUGGGACGAAGUUCUAAUUUCGGGGAGCAGAUACACCGUCUGUGGCAUCAAGUACCAGGAUCAUGCGCCAUUUUUAAUCUAUACGCCAUAAGUUUCUUGUAUUCGAAUAUAAGAAAAAAAUAUUUAAAAAUGAUUUUAAAACUCUAACGCCGACAUAGUUUUGAUCAAUAGAGUUCCUUCGAAUCGUGGAAAAGUGCCAAUCGGAUUUUCCAAACACGAAACGUGGGUGAGAGAAUGAUGAUAUAAUCUAUACCUCCACGUUGAAGAAUUUAUAUCAGAGAUCUGGAAUUAAUGUCAGUACAUAUUUUGGUAUGAUUGAAAUCAUACAGGCGGUAAAUAUAUUCGUACAAAACAUUUGAUCAACAAUUGGUAAACAAUAUGAUAUAUCUUAGAAACGGCAAGCUAGGACAAAGUCUAACAAUAAGCAACACUUUGGCGGAGUUAUUUUUUGACCAUGACCGUCUAUGAAAUAAGACUUUUACUUCUAUGAAUACUGUUCUUGAAAUGUGUUAAAGACACACGACCGUCCCAUAUUCGUCGCGCCAAGAACACAUAUGAGAGAACCAUCAAAGACGAGUACACGUGUUUGAUCUGAUUCGCUUUCACAUUUCUACGAAUUCGAAUAUAAUCGGACGAUUAGACGAGUAAAUAAUAUUAUCCAACAAGUAACAAGUUUAUAAUCUAAAAUUAUUAGAUCAUAUCGAUAAGACAUUCAAAGGAUAAAAAAGAAAUGAGAAGAACAAAGAAAUGUCUUUCGUUAGGUCUGAUAUAACUCACAUGAACCGCUCAUAAGAUGUUGCUAUCCCUUCGACGAACAACCAUGAACUGACACGCCGCCUCUAUUAAAAACGGAGCUAACCGCCAACUUAGUCCCUCUCUCCCCCCCCCCUCCUUUCUUGCCCCUUACAAUUUAUAUUCAACUUUAUCUCCCCCUGGCACUUUAGUUUACGGAAAGCCACGUACUACGACGAGUGAAAUAUACCUUAUGUUUAUUGAGUUAACCCAAUUGCACGAUCUCCUCUCUCGGGCUUUCAUUUUCUCUUUUCUUUUUUUUUCUUUUUUCUCUUUUUUGUUUUUUUUUCAUACAACACCAAAAUACCGAUCGCGAUAAUGUUUUCACUUUGAUGAAUUAUUUUCUUUAAAUAAUAACUUAGCGAUUAAUUUUAUGAAUCGUCGAUCCGUCGUCGUACUUGCCGUUGAUGGUAUACGGGUUCCUUUAAUCUGGUCCUCAAAAGACGUCCUAGUCUCACCAUGCGGCCAACGUCCAACAAUAGUUUUUCUCGAUCACCCAAGAUAUCCCUUAUCUCAGCUCUAGCACGGCACUCGCUAGCGAAAUCUUCAUUUUUUCUCGCUCGUUUUAAAGACCCAACGAUUUCAAUCAAAUCCCGCAAUUUCGAACAAUGCUAAAAUUUUGUAAAAUUGUAUAUAAGAAAAAUAUUCGUGAUAACUCAAGUUUUUGCCUUGUCAUGCAUUACUCCAUCAGGAAAACAUAUUUACGUACAUCCUCAACGCUUCUAUGAAAAACGGCACAUACUCGUAGCCUAGUUAGUUGCUCUUGACCAGCUGAACGUAACUGUUUCCAUGUUUGACGUAAUCUUGAAAACAAGUGAACGUUGUUGUCCAAUGAUAAUCUGCAAGACAAUCUUAACACUCGUGCUCCGUUUACCAAUUGACAACCGUACUCAUAAGUUCCCUAUAAAAAAGAAAAAAGAAAUAAAAUAACAAAGAAAUCAAAAGAUAAGAUAAAAUCAUUUAGCAUACGCUUAUUUUUCUUAUAUACAUUUCGUUUUCUUUUUUGUUACACCUAUAGACUAAACUUGCCUUCGCAGUUUCCUGAAAGGACUGAUGUUUUUCUUUUUGCGAUUGUAUUUCGCUAGUAUUACAUCCAACCUCCAUAAGAUUGUGAAAGAGAACGUUGAACAAAUCGUUCAACCAUUUAACAGCCUAAUAAGUAUCAAUCCAAAAAAAUUUAGAAAUAGGAUUUUCGUUCGAAUUAAUUUUUUAUUUACCUGUUCGGCGUCGUUCUCAUAAGUAUGUAUUAAAGAGAUUUGUUUCAAAGUCAGCUUCUGCAAUUCUACGCUAUCAUUAAAGAUAUUCUUCCUAGCGAUCGUAGCAUCCAAAAUAUCGCGUACAUUGACAAUGUCCUCGCCAUAAUCAACAUGAAUGUCUCUUCCCAGGGCAUCUUUAACAGGCAUCGACAAGAUGUCUGAAAGUUUCUCGCCCUCUUUCACAAGUUCCUGUUCUAACACUUCUACAAAAUACAUCGAAUAACAUGAAAUUCCAUACAUUGCAUCGAACCAUUAUUGUAUCAUAUAAUUUCAUACUUACCCAAGGCUAAUUGAUUAUUUUCUAGCAUGAGUAGUUUCAAGCUAGCUUGAGAAAAAUCAUGAGUCGUAUUUGUCAUCACCAACUUGUCAAAAACUUCGCUCGUCUUAUCGAAGUACUAAAAAUGACAAAGAGUCUUUUCUUUCUUUUUCAAUGUAUUUUCUUUGUUUUUUCUUUUUUUUAUUUUUUUUUUUUUUUUUUUUUUUUUUUUUUUUUUUUUUUUUUUUCUACACUUACCUCAGAUACAAGCCUAAAGAAUCUCUGACAGGUAAUGAGAACGUUCCUUCGUCUUUCCAAUCUAGAUGCAAAGCUUCGACAAACAAAAUCCAUGAAAUCCUUUUGAGACUUCAAAUCCUCCGGUAAAUGACCUGUCGGCAAACAGUCAAUCUUAUGAAGCAACUCAGCGUAACGACCAUACGUCUCCUAAAAAAAUAUCAAAGGAACAUUAUCAUGAAAAAUGUUUUUACAUAACUAUAAUAGAAUCAUCUUCAUGGCUAUCUUACUCGACAUUUUAAUUCUAAUUGCUCGUGCUGCCGUCUAAGCUCGUCCGAAGAUAUCACGUCAAAGCCAACUUGAUAGGAACAGUUCAACAUGGCAUCAGCCGGUCCCAAAAUCCACUCUGUUACUUGUGAAACACCUUUUUCGAGGUCGUCUAUUACCUUCACAGUGUCCAAACUUCUUUCCAUUUGAGUCCAACAAUUUUCAAUGUCUACCUGUAUAAAUAAUGAAUAUGAUAGAAAUGUAAAAUCUAGAUUUACAUGUAUAUAUAUAUGUAUAUAUCGCAAACGAGUUACCUGUUUUAAUUCAAUGGAAUCAAGAAGUCCAUGUAUCCGUUUAACCGUGUCCAAAGAAUCUCUUGACGAAUCCCUACUCAUAGUGUUGACUAAACUCCUACCUAUGAAUACAAAAAGAGAAAAUUUGUUGUCUAGAUCUCCUUAUAUAAUACGUAACUCCGAUGAUUUAUUUAAUGUUUAAUAAACCUGAGUUAAGGAUACGAGAAGCAACAGACGUAAGUUCCAUUCCGAUUUCCCAAUAAGAUUCUAAAUCAUCAUCCGAUUGCCUCAUGCGAAUCCCAUCAAGGCUGCUCAAUCGUUCAUGCAAAUUCGACAUUUUCGACAAUAAUUCUAAGCCAUCCUUCAUGUAUUCUUCGACUUUCUAUAAAAUAAUCGAUAAAUUAAAUUAAGCAAUAAUUAAUUAAGAAAAAAGAGGGGGUGGUAUCGUACAAAAAAAAUGGUUGCCAUCUGACUAAUAUUGUGUUUCAUAUAUAAUUGUAUUCAAUCAUACUAUAUGUUGCAAUAAAACUUUUUUUAAAUUUAAAAGAAAAAUUUUAUUUAAAAACAAAAAAAUAUUCGAUAACUCUUAUUGAAAACUUUCGAUAUAUACAAUAAAAUAGAUCGUACCAAACGUUUUCGAAUCCAUUCCGUGUGAUCGUAAAACUUGUUGCCGCACAAUUCAUAUGGUAAUUGAGAAAAUUCAAUAAACGCGUGAAGUCUUUCGACGGUAACAUACAUCGGCUGAAAAAAAUAGUAAAAAAAUUAUUUUAAAAAUUGCCAAGAGCUGCAAGUACUCGAAUUAAUCGAAAUCGAUGAAAAAACAAAAAUAUCGUAAAACAAAAAACAAACAAAGCAUAAAUCAGAUCUCAUUCCUUGUCAAGAUUAAUCGAAAGUGUAUCGAAUUAUUCUGUCAAUUCGAAAGCCCUUUCUACCUCAUAGAAUGAAUUGACAAAUUAUAAUUUUCGAUGUUUAUAACGAUCAAAUAUGUUGAACAACCUUAAAGCGAAUGAAAUAACUACUUGUACGGAUAAACAUGGAAUUAACUAUUAGUAGGAGGUUGAUUAGUAAAAAAGUUGUUCUUUCAGAGAAAAUAUACAGACCUCGCUGUCCUUAUAGGACUUGGUACAACUGUCGACACGCUUGUCCCAGAACCCAUCUGGACGUAUAACGAACACGGAAGUUGCACGACUUCCUAGAAGCAUCACCGAUAACCUGAUGCAGGAUCUUGCAACUCGCCAUGCUCGAUAGCGUGCGUCUAUGAUCAAUACCAGACCACCUUUCUUCGUCCCUUCGCUGUAUAUAAUUGAAAAAUUAUAGUGCGUCAAAAGUAGAUACGAUGACAGAGAAAUUAUUAUAAUAAUUAUAUAGAAAUAUGUCCAUCUCACCGAUAUCUGUAAUUUUUGAGUAUAUUGUAGAAAUCAAAGUAUUGGUUUUGCAUUGAAUAUCU